rnacentral:tRNA from 1 species
CCUGAUGGCUCAGUUGGUAAAGAAUCUGCCUGCAAUGCAAGAGACCCAGGUUUGAUUCCUGGGUCAGGA